rnacentral:rRNA from 1 species
GCAUGCAAGUCGAACGAGGGAGCGUCCGAAAGGAUGCAAACCGAGUGGCGUAAGGGUGAGUAAUGCAUUGAUAACCUACCUUUGAAAUGGGGAUAACAACGUUCCGGGCAACCGGAGCUACCGAAAGGGUUGCUAAUACCCGAUGAAACUUUAGGCUCUUAGGGGCUGGAAGUCAAAGUGCGGAGGCGUAAGUUUUCGUAUGUUCAGAGAGGGGUCAAUGUCCUAUCAGCUAGUUGGUAAGGUAAAGGCUUACCAAGGCGAAGACGGGUAGCCGGCCUGAGAGGGUGGUCGGCCACAUUGGGACUGAGACACUGCCCAGACUCCUACGGGAGGCUGCAGUCGAGUAUCUUUCGCAAUGCCCGAAAGGGUGACGAAGCGACGCCGCGUGUGGGAAGAAGGCCUUCGGGUUGUAAACCACUGUCAGGAGUUAAGAAGUGUAAGGAUACGAAUAGUGUCUUUACUUGACUAAGGCUCCAGAGGAAGCCACGGCUAACUCUGUGCCAGCAGCCGCGGUAAUACAGAGGUGGCAAGCGUUGUUCGGAAUUAUUGGGCGUAAAGAGCACGUAGGCGGUUCUGCAAGUCGGCUGUGAAAGCCUUCCGCUCAACGGAAGAACAGCAGUUGAUACUACAGGACUCGAGUGCGGGAGGGGAGAGUGGAACUUCUGGUGGAGCGGUGAAAUGCGUAGAUAUCAGAAGGAACGCCGGCGGCGAAAGCGACUCUCUGGCCCGUAACUGACGCUGAGUGUGCGAAAGCUAGGGGAGCAAACGGGA